AGAGUUUGAUCCUGGCUCAGGAUGAACGCUAGCGGCAGGCUUAACACAUGCAAGUCGAGGGGUAGAAGUUGUUCGGACUUUGAGACCGGCGCACGGGUGCGUAACGCGUAUGCAAUCUACCUUUUACAGAGGGAUAGCCCAGAGAAAUUUGGAUUAAUACCUCAUAGUAUUAUUGAAUGGCAUCAUUUAAUAAUUAAAGUUCCAACGGUAAAAGAUGAGCAUGCGUCCCAUUAGCUAGUUGGUGUGGUAACGGCACACCAAGGCAAUGAUGGGUAGGGGUCCUGAGAGGGAGAUCCCCCACACUGGUACUGAGACACGGACCAGACUCCUACGGGAGGCAGCAGUGAGGAAUAUUGGACAAUGGGCGCAAGCCUGAUCCAGCCAUGCCGCGUGAGUGAUGAAGGCCUUAGGGUUGUAAAGCUCUUUCGACGGGGACGAUGAUGACGGUACCCGUAGAAGAAGCCCCGGCUAACUUCGUGCCAGCAGCCGCGGUAAU
rnacentral:rRNA from 1 species